AUGCUGGGUGAUUUGGCUCAUCUGUCACCCCAUUGGUCGCCAGGGUGGAUUCCAGCUGAUCUGGCUGGAUGACUGGGUGCCCCCUUCUGCCCUCACAGCUCCGUGUGGGUUUCUCCCAACAUCUGCACUUGGAGGAAAAGGAUGACGACCACCCCAGAUUGAAAGGGUGUAGUGAUCUUCGGUCGGGGGAAAGGACAGCUGCGAGCCCCUUUUGCUAGAACCCCCCAAAGAAACAGAAAGCCCAGCGCAUCCUGGCAAUUAGAGGUCCACAAGCAGCACCCUUGAAAGGCUCAGAAGCU
rnacentral:snRNA from 1 species